rnacentral:rRNA from 1 species
UACGUAGGAUGCAAGCGUUGUCCGGAAUUAUUGGGCGUAAAGAGCGAGCAGGCGGUUCGACAAGUCAGAUGUAAAAUAUCCCGGCUUAACCGGGAGGGGCCAUUUGAAACUGUCGGACUAGAGUGGAGCAGAGGAUAGUGGAAUUCCUGGUGUAGCGGUGGAAUGCGCAGAUAUCAGGAGGAACACCUGUGGUGUAGACGGCUUACUGGACCAUGACUGACGCUGAGGCACGAAAGCGUGGGGAGCAAACAGG